CCCCCUUUUCAAGGCUUUACCAGACCAACUGGGCCACAAACCUCAUGGCGGUAGCAUCCUCAUCGGUUCAUGUCCUCCACCGCCUCCUUCGCCCACCUCCACCACAGCCACCAGUUCUCCCCUUUGUAACUCCUCUUCCCACCGCCACCACAUGUGCUAUCGCCGCUAGCAUCAGCAGAAAAUCUAUUCUCCUCUCCAAAUAUUCAAAAUCGCGGCCUCACUAUACCACAGUGAAGACCAUCCUCUCUUUUCUCUAUCCGCUGUCUACUACUGCUGCUUAUUCUCUCCUCCUUCCACACUCUCUCUCCACAUCUUCACCUAAUAAGUCUCAUUCCUUGGAAGAAGAUGAAGACGAUGAUGGCGAAAUUGAAUAUGCAAAGGAAGAUAUUGAUACUAGAAUUGAAAGCUUGGAAGUGGGGGACGCUAAUGUUGUUAUUAAUACUAGUGAUGGGUCUAGUAAAGAAGGUUUAAGUAGAAGUGGUUUAAAGGUACCGAAUUUGACAGUGAAGGAAAAGAAAGAAUUAGCUUCCUAUGCGCAUGGAUUGGGCAAGAAGCUCAAGUGCCAGUUAGUGGGCAAGUCUGGAGUUACAGAUAAUGUUGUUUCUUCUUUUAUUGAGACCCUUGAAGCUAAUGAGCUUUUAAAGAUCAAAAUACACCGGAGUUGUCCAGGAGAGCUAGAGGACGUGGUUCAAAAAUUGGAGGCAGGAACUGGGUCAGUGGUGGUUGGUCAAAUUGGUCGGACAGUGAUUAUAUACCGACCCAGUCUCUCUAAAUUGGAGGCGGAGGAGAAAAAGCUACGUGCACGUAGAGUUUUUGUGAGAAAAGACUCAAAACUGAAUCCUGUGUCACUGCCAACAAGAGUACAAGUACCAAGGCUAUCUGGGCGUGGUCGUCGUGGAAGAUCACGAACUGAAAGGACGCAAAACUGAAGCCUGUAUCGCUGCCAAGAGGACAAGUACCAAGACUAUCUAGUGUGUUCGUUGAGGAAGAAGCAGGAUAUGAAUGCUAUUUUCUGAAACUAUUGCUGGAAUUAUUUUAGUGCAGCUGAGUGGAACAUGACCUUUGCUUCAGAAAUAUUCCCAAGGCAACAGAUUUCCAGAGUUUUUAGUAGCAGAUUGGAUAAUGAAAGUGAACUCAAGGGGCUAGCAGAUUGGAUAAUGAAAGUGAACUCAAGGGGCUACAUAAUCCACUCUAGACUUCAUUUUUUGAUAGAUAGAGAAUGCGUAAAAAAGAGGCCUGAGCUAAUUUCACUACUUGCACUUGGAUGGUGUUGUUUGCAUCCUUGAUCCUGAAACUGCAAGGACAAUGAUUAAUGUUAAUUGCUAAAUUGCAUAUACUCAGUGUUGAAGGUUAUUUCUCCCUUUUUUUUUUUUUUUUUGGUCUUUUGGUAAAGUCAGUUGAACUGAUGUCCAAAUAUGCACUCAAAGACUUGGCCUAAGAAUAUAUUCAUCUUCCAAUACUUGAAAUAAAACAUGCUGUGUUCUGGAA